AUUGAACGCUGGCGGCAUGCCUUACACAUGCAAGUCGAACGGCAGCACGGGGGCAACCCUGGUGGCGAGUGGCGAACGGGUGAGUAAUACAUCGGAACGUGCCCCGUAGCGGGGACAACCAGUCGAAAGACUGGCUAAUACCGCAUACGCUCCACGGAGGAAAGCAGGGGAUCGCAAGACCUUGCACUAUGGGAGCGGCCGAUGCCCGAUUAGCUAGUUGGUGAGGUAAAGGCUCACCAAGGCAACGAUCGGUAGCUGGUCUGAGAGGACGACCAGCCACACUGGGACUGAGAC
rnacentral:rRNA from 1 species